GCCCGCAUAGCUCAGUUGGUAGAGCGACUGCCUUGUAAGCAGUGGGUCGGGAGUUCGAGUCUCUCUGCGGGCA
rnacentral:tRNA from 1 species